UACGAAGGGGGCUAGCGUUGCUCGGAAUCACUGGGCGUAAAGGGUGCGUAGGCGGGUCUUUAAGUCAGGGGUGAAAUCCUGGAGCUCAACUCCAGAACUGCCUUUGAUACUGAGGAUCUUGAGUUCGGGAGAGGUGAGUGGAACUGCGAGUGUAGAGGUGAAAAUUCGUAGAUAUUCGCAAGAACACCAGUGGCGAAGGCGGCUUACUGGUCCGGAACUGACGCUGAGGUGCGAAAGCGUGGGGGAGCAAACAGG
rnacentral:rRNA from 1 species